UACGUAGGUGGCAAGCGUUGUCCGGAUUUACUGGGCGUAAAGAGCGCGCAGGCGGUCGGAUAAGUCGAAUGUGAAAGCCCCUGGCUCAACCAGGGAGGGUCAUUCGAUACUGUUCGACUCGAAGGCAGGAGAGGGAAGUGGAAUUCCGGGUGUAGUGGUGAAAUGCGUAGAUAUCCGGAGGAACACCAGUGGCGAAGGCGAGUCUCUGGACGACACCUGACACUGAGGCACGAAAGCUAGGGGAGCAAACAGG
rnacentral:rRNA from 1 species